UUGGAGCGUACGCUUCGCUUCGUGAUUGCCAUGUGCACAGCACCAUGCAAUAUUUACUCCCCGUCUUGUCGCCACCGUGCCCAGACUUUCUCUUUUCGACGCUACCUGUAUAGAAGAAACAGCUGCAAGACGGGUUCCCAAAGGCGAACUCGGGAGGGCCUGGAGCGCCUGACAUCGUGGGAGGACUGGGAGACCGUGCUCCGCUCUGAGGACCCGGCAACGCAGACCAUCGCGACCAGCCGGGCUGCCAGUGUUAUGGACCUACGGAACAUAAACACUUGAGUGGAGUACGGUCGUGCGGGGGCCCAGGGGCCUACGUGGCCCGAACACCUCUGUUUAAAUAAAGUUUUUAACAACAACAACAGAGACCCGUUUUAAACGCUUGUAAACACGCACGUCUGUGUUCGCCUCGUCGGCCCAUUUGUGCAGAAGGCUUUGAGAUAAAUGGGCUCCCGUGACUACCUUUAAGAGGCGAGUCCCAUGGUCCAAGGCCCUCGGUUCCCUUUCUCCUCGUUAGAGAGGCCUCGAAUGCGGCAGCAGUGAUGUCUUCAGGUAGCAUGUGUGGGUUUAUUAACCAGUUGCCUACGCCCAAAAACAUCACGUGCACGUGACGCCUUCGACAAAAAAGGAUGUUCCACAUCCAACGUCAAGGCCGUGAGGUGUGGCGCUGGCUAACGCUCCCAGGCUUAGUUCUAGUAGAUAAACAUAAAUACUCCAGAAAGAGGAUACGAAAACGGCGCUGCGGCAGCUAAUUUGGUUACAGCAUCGCACGCGUAAUGCGAAGACGUGGGUUCGUGCCCCACCUGCGGCCAGUUCUUUUUUUCAUCCACUUUCAUUUCCAUUAAUUCACAAUUUCUUUAUUUCAAUUCAUAAGUGCAUGUAAUUUGCCCUAUGCCGUCCUAGCUUAGGUGUCUUUGUUUGUCGGCUUCUGGUGGUAUUCCCGUUAAAAGAAACGCGUGCAAUAUUCCUUUUAGUCGGUACAAGGACUUUCCAGCCAACUUACGAAGGACUUGUUUCCCGAGAUGGGAAUCCAGCAUUUUCUCAAGUCGGCGCGCGCCGCGUGAGCAGAAAGGACGUUACAGGUCUGAACCCUAUAGCAACGCACUCACCCCGACACGCGCGCACGUCGCGUCGUUCUGGGAUCGCGAGCACCGGUCGCACAUCAAUUUACUGAUACCUGCUCAGAUUGGCAUCCGACUCUAUAUGCGGAGAAGCGGCGUUGCGAAAGUUGUGCUGCUCCGCCAAUAACAGCUCGACCAAAGAAACAAAGCCAGACAGCACAUGCGCCAUUGUUCCUUAUCGACGAGGUCUCGCUCGCCCGCCAUCCAGGGACCGCACUGCAGCUCGGGCGAUGUCGCGAUUUCGGUCGGUUCUGACACCACGCGCUUCGAGUAUCAAAACGGCAACAAACACAACACGCGGCCCUAUAAAUAGACGAGACAAGGCCCCCGAUGGCAGGACACGCACAAUUCCCGAUAUUUAUGACGAAACGAGAGAGAAUCUAUCGGUUCAUUUUAGCGAAAACUUUCUGCCGCCCGAGUUACAGUGUAACAUUUCGCCGGGUAUAUACAUUGAGAAUACACGAAAAAGAACUCUUUCACAGCGUGUUGCCCAUUGAGAGACCCGUCCUGCACUUCCGAACGCUUCAACGUGAAGUCGGCACACUUUCGUUUUAUUUUCUUUUCUUUUUUUUCUUUGGCGUGCGUGCAUUAAAGCACUGCAAUAGAAAGGAACGCUUGAGCAACUGGACAUGCCCUAUACUAACAGGACAGGGACUUCAAUAAGACCCCGUCUUGUGGCUGUCGCUUUAGUUCUAGUCUCUUGCGCUUUAAGAGACUCGCAAAGAAUUUCACUCCUCGUCAUCUUGCUGUUGCAUCCAGGUAUAAAAAAGGACCCGAACGAAAGACUUCGUGAAUAUAUUCCCAGGUUGCGAGUAUGAACGUCGACUUCCGCCAGUUGUAUCUUUUCGUUUUCUUUUUUUUUUUUUCUGAACGCGUGUACAAUGUCUUACGUUAUCGGAAGUCCCCUAGCUUCACGGAAAUUUCCUCCCCAUGUGCCGACAAGAAGCCGUAUUAGUGUGGCCACGUCACGAACGCAGGCGAAAACUGUACGCAGUGCAACGAACUGCACAGAACUCGUGCACAGACACAUGCACUCACGCGCUCAGACACGCGGAAAUUACUUGUGAAACAAUGCGAACCUUCGCCGUCCUUUCACUCGAGCAUGCAGCGCAAAGAGCGGCUCCCUCUCCUGAAGUCUGCUGCCAAAUACUGUAGGGGCAGGGGCCUUUGUCAAGCCGCUUAAAAUAGCGGCUUUUUGCUCCUGUCCUAGCAUUUGUACAUCUAAAGUUGAAUGCUGAAAUAAAGGAAUGGAAUGGAAUGGAA